rnacentral:rRNA from 1 species
GAUGAACGCUGGCGGCGUGCCUAAUACAUGCAAGUCGAGCGAACAGAUGAGGAUCUUGCUCCUCUGACGUUAGCCGCGCACGGGUGAGUAACACGUGGAUACCCUACCUAUAAGACUGGGAUAACUUCGGGACACCGGAGCUAAUACCGGAUAAUAUAUUGAACCGCAUGGUUCAAUAGUGAAAGACGGUUUUGCUGUCACUUAUAGAUGGAUCCGCGCCGCAUUAGCUAGUUGGUAAGGUAACGGCUUACCAAGGCAACGAUGCGUAGCCGACCGGAGAGGGUGAUCGGCGACACUGGAACUGGGACACGGUCAAGACUCCUACGGGAGGCAGCAGUAGGGAAUCGGACGCAAUGGUCGAAAGCCUGACGGAGCAACGCCGCGUGAGUGAUGAAGGUCUUCGGAUCGUAAAACUCUGUUAUUAGGGAAGAACAAAUGUGUAAGUAACUAUGCACGUCUUGACGGUACCUAAUCAGAAAGCCACGGCUAACUACGUG